rnacentral:rRNA from 1 species
ACUCCUACGGGAGGCAGCAAUUAGGAAUCUUGCGCAAUGGACGAAAGUCUGACGCAGCGACACCGCGUGGAGGAUGACGGUUUUCGGAUUGUAAACUCCUUUUAUUGGGGAACAAGUUCUGAGUGUACCCAAUGAAUAAGGCCCCCCCUAACUACGUGCCCAGAAGGGUCGGUGAUGCGUAGGGGCCAAACGUUAUCCGGAAUUACUGGGCGUAAAGAGAUGCGUAGGCGUCUGUGUAAGUCACAUGUUAAAGCCCGGGGCUCAA